rnacentral:rRNA from 1 species
AGAGAAGUAAAAGUCGUAACAAGGUUUCCGUAGGUGAACCUGCGGAAGGAUCAUUAAUGAAUGAACUUGGUAUAGUCUGUUGCUGGCCCGUUAAAAGGCAUGUGCACGUCUAAUACCAAUUUUCUAAACCACCUGUGCACUUGUUGUAGACUCUCUUUCGGAGUAUUUGCUUGGGGAACUGCAGGAUUAUCAUAUUACUGCUUUCUCUAUCAUUUCUCUUUUACUCAUUGAGGUCUAUGUUUUUCAUUAAACCCCUUUAUAAAUAUGGCUUUGAAUGUAAAUGACUGGGCUUUAUUGCCUAUAAAUCAUAAUACAACUUUCAACAACGGAUCUCUUGGCUCUCGCAUCGAUGAAGAACGCAGCGAAAUGCGAUAAGUAAUGUGAAUUGCAGAAUUCAGUGAAUCAUCGAAUCUUUGAACGCACCUUGCGCUCCUUGGUAUUCCGAGGAGCAUGCCUGUUUGAGUGUCAUGAAAUUCUCAACCAUUCCAACUUGUUUAUUAUGAGUUGAAUGGCUUGGAAUAUUGGGAGUUUGUGCAGGCUUAAUUUUUCUUUGAGCCAGCUCUCCUUAAAUACAUUAGCAGAGUCUUUCUAAAGCCAGCUUUUGGUGUGAUAAUUUAUCUACGCCACUGUCUGGAAAAACUAAAGGGAUUCAGCUAUCUAAAACCCCUUACUUUUGAAACAUUUGACCUCAAAUCAGGUAGGAUUACCCGCUGAACUUAAGCAUAC